CCGCUCUCUGCCGAAAGCUCCUCCAGGAGGCUGUGGAAAUAUCCCGGUGCACAGAAAUGGAUCGUGUAGUCAUAGUUCUCUGCGUUUCCUCAUUUUCCUUGCGGAGUUUUUAACCUCAGAAAGGUCCAAGCGAGGGAGAGGAGUCUUUGCUAUGCCCUGGGGUCCCUCCCAUGAGCAAACAGUCUUUUUGAAACUGCUGUGGUGUGGAUCACUCAUCCACGGGGUGCAGUCCUCUAAGGAUAGGCUGUUCUAGUUUGGAAGCAAGGGCCCUCUCUGUCUCUGGAAGCAGGGGCCCUCUCCAUUCGGGUCUCCCACUGGAUUGCAGUUUUCCCAGACAUCCACCUGCUCCAGCGUAAGUACUUCUGUCAUAGGCUUUGAGUGAUCUCUGUAUCCCCCAUGGACCUCAUGGGCUGCAGGGGGACAGCCUGCUUUACCACAGUCCUCACCACGGCCUGCAGAGGAGUCUCAGCUCUGGCACUUGGAGCACCUCCUCCCCUUCUUUUUCCACUGACCUGGGCACCGCCCUCUUGUUCUCCCUCACUUCCUCCUCUUCUCUGACUAGGAGAAAAACAGCUGCUUGUAGGUACCAUGGCAAACAAGUUCCACCAAUUCAAAGAUUCUUGCAGGAUCCUACAGUGCUCAGAGGUUGAUCUCGUCUAAGUUUCACAUCGGGGAGUCGCUCGCCAUGUUUUCUCCACCGGCUUGGUGGCUGCCACAGCACUGGUGCUAUAGAGUGCCUCUCCUCAUGUGGGGCACCAGCAAGGAGGAGCCACCACCACUGCCACCCCUGCCCUUCUGGACAAUUGGCGAGGGGCAGCCAAGCAGGCAAGGCUCACUGUGGGCUGCACCCAGAUGGCAAUGGCCAUGGUGCACUGCCGUGUGUGUGCCGGGAUGGCCCCAGUGGCACCGCCUUGCCACCCCUGGAAAAAACUGCCGGUGUGCUGUUUUGAUUUUCUUCUUAAAUAUGUCAUCACAGAGGCGUUACCAACCUCUCCAAUUGGGUCAGCACCACGUUCAUCUUCGGAGCUACCAGAGAUUGGCUCUGUCAGAUGUGGUGGAAGCUUCUAGCAGCUUCUCACAGAAGCCACUUCUGGCCUUCCCCCACUACCAAAAAAAACAGGCUGUGCCAAAACAACACAGCCCAAAUAAAGCCAGCCUCAGGCAACCCCCUGAA